UAACAUUUCCAGCAUAUUUGUUCUCUUAAUUGCUGUUGUGUGCCCACAAAUCAGCUAGCUUUGUACAUUAUACUUAUUUUCAAGACAUUGGGAUGAAAGAUUUAGCAAUCAAAGUACCUUAUCCUCUGGACAAACCUUUUCAAGACAAGACGAAGACUUGAGCCAUGAGGCAAGUGGCUGGAGAGACUUUGAUUCACAAGAAAUAGAUGUAGAAGGAGGUGAUGAAUUAGUCCAGUUGUGUAGAAUGUUUCCAAAUUAUGACCCUACAAUGCUUUCAGACUUGCUUCAAGAGCAGGGGUCUGUGGAAAGGGUAAUUAUGAUAUUACAAGGAUAAGAAUUCUAGUUAAUUCAAAACUUGAAGUAGAGAAAAGUCUUUUUAGAGGGGAUUUAAUGGGAUCACAAGAUCUGUGAGUUUGCUGUGCACUAACUUUGAUCAGCCUGUAGGUUAUUUUAUGGUAUUUUAAAGAAAUAUUUCUUAUUAUUCAACACUAGUCUGCAAUUCGUGUUUCUUGUGUGAGAAAACUAACAAGCUUGCAAAGUCUUGAAAUUUUUUUUUAAACAAUGUGUAGUUCCAAAAAUUCUCCAUACCUCCCCUCAUGGAAAAAGCAACCUGCUCUACCCCUGGAAAUUCCAAUUUUGCAACUCUGUACUUUUGUUCUUUCUCUGACUUCCCACUCCUCAGAAAUUCCAAAUUCCUCUGGGGGGUGGGUAUGGAUAAUUUCUGGAACUACACAUUACACAAAAUUUGAUAUUAUUUUCCUUUUAUUGUUAUUAUUUUAAUGCAUCAUAAUAAUAUUUUAUUUUCCUUGUGCUUGACAAUAGGCAAUAUGUAAUAUAUAAGAAUUCUGAUUUGGUCACAUGGUGAGUUAUGUAUAGUACAAAAUUAUCAUUAUCAAAUUACUUCUACAGGUGGUAUAUAACUUUAUCAAACUCAUUAAUAAUUCAUGAGUCCAAAACAAAUGGGAAUGAAUUAAAAUUUUUAUAGAAUUGUUUUCAAUGGGUAUUUACACUAAUGUUGUGAAAUAAUGUUUUUCGUUUAAUAUUGUUGAUAAGGACAAAAGGUCAUGCUUUUUGUACACACACACACACACACACAUAUAUAUAUAUACACAGCACAUCGUAAAAUUGACACAGUGCACGCCUAGCAUGACGCAGUUAUAUGCAUAAAUAAUUAAGAAUAAAUAAGUCCAUGUAUGUACAACUUUACUUACAUUGCUGUUCAGUUAGAGAGAGCUUGAACAUGUUUCCUUGGUAUUUUACUUGUAUAUUGCACUUGUACCAAAUUCAUUAAAGUGGGGACAAAAACA